UAACAAAUCGGGAAGGUGACAGAGUC
rnacentral:piRNA from 1 species